rnacentral:RNase_P_RNA from 1 species
GCAGACGAACGGCUUGUCGCUGGCAUCGGAACCUCCUUGCUUGCAGGGUAAGGAACGAAGCGAGAGGAAAGUCCGGGCAGCACAGAGCACUCCACUUCCUAAUUUAGAAGCAAUCCGUGAGGGUUGAGCAGUGUAGAAGAAAACAACCGCCUAAGUUAUGGACCAUUUCAUGACGGUAAGGGUGAGAAGGCGAGGCAAGAGCUCACCAGCAGUGUGGUGACACAUCUGGCUGUACACCUUGGAGGCUGCAAGUUCAUGUAUAGUAGCACUAUAAGGGUUGCUCGCCCGAGCUACAGGGUAGAACGCUAAAGCCUGAUGGUGACAUCAGUGAUUGGAUAAAUGACAAGCAGUGAAAUGUAUUGCACAUCUCACCACAGAACCCGGCUUACAGGUCGUCUGCCUUU